UCCUGUGUAUAGCUGAUGCAUCCCUGCUCUGUAGCCUUGUGGUGUCUCAGCCCACCAGAAUCAUUGGUUCCGGGGCCAUGUGGAAAGAAAGCUCAUCGCAACCACCCACUAAUGGAAUUACAUUAUAGGUGAGACACGACCUACUCAACAGUUAAAAUAAUCAACAAACGCUUUCGUAGCACUCACGUGGUGUUUUGUUUGGGCAACGGUCAAUGAGACAUUCUUGAACUUUUGGCACGUUCUGGAAGAACUUUCUCAUGUUGUAACAUGGCAUGUUGUUGUGCUGUACCCACUGAUGCCACUCAGUCGCAAAAAUUGGACAGUUUGUACAUCUUUGUGUGCACAGGCCUCCUCAUCCAGUAGGACAUUUACUCUGCUCUUAUAGCCCUGGAAACCAAUCAAAACAAACAGAGAGUAUACUGCAUGACGCCAACCCUGCCUCUCUGCUUACUUCCUUUAAUUGUGACUGAACCACAUGGUUGUGCAAAACAGCAUGGGGAUAGCAGCUUGCAGUUGUUAUCUAUUGUCACAAAGUGUUAUCAACAAAGGAAUGAAUCCACUGGAAACAAGAUAGAAGACACAGCACAUAUGCCACAGUUUACACAAUGGAAAACAGUCAUCAAGUCUUUCCAAGUGCAUAAGGUCGUACUGUUACCUGUUGUGGAUCUGAGAGUUGAAGUGACAGUGGAGGAUGUCAUUGAAGGCAAGCAGUCGUCGUCUUGGGAAUACCCAGCCUGAAUUGCACGCAGCAAACAACAGAAGGUUCCACCCACUCUACCAACAUGGUGGCAUCUACAGUAUCUCUCAAUCCUCCUACUCCUCCAGGGCUCCUGGUGUUCCCCCUGUGAGGGGCCUGCGUGGGACUCACCUGGCUGACGCAGCUUGCCUGACUGAGGGUGCUAACCGCGCGCAUGUAGCUCUGGUUCCGGGAUCGGAACUGAGGGCCGAGGGGUAUAUGGUGUUGGGGGUAGUUGGUGGCUGGGUCCAGGGUGACACUGGGAUGGGGCCGCAUCAUGUCUCGGGUGGUUUGCAAGUGGUAGCUCUGACUGUACAGAGAGAGAGAGAGAGAGAGAGAGAGUGGAUAGACAAAUAUGAGAGGCAUUGUGAGUCAGACACAGGGCUGUGGUGGUCAUGAAAUUUUGUCAACCGGUUAUAGUCAUGCAAAAGACUGCCGGUCUCACGAUAAUUGACUGUUAAUUAACAAACACGUUUAGCAUCUCCAGGCCUCCACACAUAUUGUACAAGCCGCUGAUGUGCGCCUUUGGAACAUCUACAUUCAAAAAAGUAUAAUGAAUAAAUGCAAUAUAUAUCAUCGCAAUAAAUCUCUUAUUUAUUCUAAACAUGAUGAUAUUAAGAAAAUA